rnacentral:rRNA from 1 species
UACGUAGGGUGCGAGCGUUGUCCGGAAUUAUUGGGCGUAAAGAGCUCGUAGGCGGUUUGUCGCGUCGGCCGUGAAAACUUGGGGCUUAACUCCAAGCUUGCGGUCGAUACGGGCAGACUUGAGUUCGGCAGGGGAGACUGGAAUUCCUGGUGUAGCGGUGAAGUGCGCAGAUAUCAGGAGGAACACCGGUGGCGAAGGCGGGUCUCUGGGCCGACACUGACGCUGAGGAGCGAAAGCGUGGGGAGCGAACAGG